rnacentral:lncRNA from 1 species
GUCAAAUAGAUAAUGAAACAGAGACAACAUGAACAAAACUUGUAUGAACAAACAAAUACCACUUUCAAAACUAUAUAUGUCAAGUCAAAGUAAUGUAACAUUGUUUGAUUGCUCACACUUUCCCUUCACAACGAAGUUGAGUUUGAUCCCUAUCCAUGUCAAUUAUUUACCGCUUUCUGUCCCCAAAUUUCACCCCCAAAAAAAGAUAGUAAAAAAACUAAAAACUACCCUCCCAAGAUCCAUGCUUUAGGUUCAAACCCAGCAAA